ACGAACGCUGGCGGCGUGCUUAACACAUGCAAGUCGAACGGAAAGGCCCGCCACCUUGGUGGUGGGUACUCGAGUGGCGAACGGGUGAGUAACACGUGGGUGAUCUGCCCCGCACUGUGGGAUAAGCCUGGGAAACUGGGUCUAAUACCACAUACGACCAUGGCGUAGGGGUCAUGGUGGAAAGCUUUAUUGCGGUGUGGGAUGAGCCCGCGGCCUAUCAGCUUGUUGGUGGGGUAAUGGCCUACCAAGGCGGCGACGGGUAGCCGGCCUGAGAGGGUGGACGGCCACAUUGGGACUGAGACACGGCCCAGACUCCUACGGGAGGCAGCAGUGGGGAAUAUUGCACAAUGGGCGCAAGCCUGAUGCAGCGACGCCGCGUGGGGGAUGACGGCCUUCGGGUUGUAAACUCCUUUCGCCCGGGACGAAGCCCACCUGGUGGGUGGCGGUACCGUGGAGAAGAAGCACCGGCUAACUACGUGCCAGCAGCCGCGGUAAUACGUAGGGUGCAAGCGUUGUCCGGAUUUACUGGGCGUAAAGAGCUCGUAGGUGGUGUGUCGCGUCGUCUGUGAAAUUCCGGGGCUUAACUCCGGGCGUGCAGGCGAUACGGGCACGACUAGAGUGCUGUAGGGGUAACUGGAAUUCCUGGUGUAUCGGUGAAAUGCGCAGAUAUCAGGAGGAACACCGAUGGCGAAGGCUGGUUACUGGGCAGUUACUGACGCUUAGGAGCGAAAGCAUGGGGAGCGAACAGG
rnacentral:rRNA from 1 species